UGGCGCGCGCACAGCUUCUCUGACCAGUGCAGGAGUGACGAGUGGAAUUUCUUGCUCUCCCUUUCUUACUUUUACAUCGGGUUCCACAAACCACCAAAGUGUUUUCUGUGUGUGCCUCCUGCUCCCCUAAGGCCAUGCCUAAUAAGGGAAACAAACGCCCUAAGGGCUGCAUGCCGGAUAAGAAGCCAAGUCAAGACCGGAUUAAGACGCAGACGAAGGAGCAGAAGGACGACAAGGCAAAAGAAGCAACUCCCAAAGAGAAGGAUAAAAAAUAAGACCGAGUCCAGGCCAUCGCAUCCCUCAGCCCUGCGGGUACCAAUGUCCCAGCGGUCUUCGCUCUCCAGCCUUCUUUCGCCUUCUUUUCUAUCUCCCUCUUUGUCUUCUCCUCAACAAGCGCUUGUCUUACUAAUGUCCCGGAGUACACUCUACGUCCUCUUAGCCAGUGCUCGGCCCUAAUUGCAUAAGGGACGUGCAACCUGGAACGAAUUUCCGUCUCUCAGCGUCAGCGCUGCGCUCUGCUGGGAUUUCGGUAUUCUGACAUUCUUCCCGCCAGAGACGCUUCUGCCUCUUCCAUCAUCUUCGUAAUGGUACCUGUGCUAAUACUUCACCCACCUAACCCACCUACAACUACCUGUGCUACUUAGCCCCUUCUCUCUCUCUCUCUCUCUCUCUCUCUCUGGAAAUCCUUCAACAUUCGUCCAAGUCUGUUUUCGCUGCUUGAGCCAGGCAGGCAGGCAGCUUCGUCGGCUGCUUGAAAAUGGUCGUGUCAUCACCAGUCUUGACGUUUUUCUCCCAUGAAAUUUGACAAGAAAUCGGAUAAAAAAAAAUUUGGAAUGUAUUUUUAAAGAUCGCCGAAAAUAAUUUGUAUCAACGUUAACUGUGAACCUCAUUUGUGAUAUCGAUUUCUUAUUUGACUUAGAUCAUGGGUUUCAAUUGACAACAAAAGAAGGUAAAUCGAGACUGCCUAUUUUCGAGACAUUCUCCAUGGAAAUGCAGAAACGCUGUUAAGAGCAUAAAAGUUAUUGGUCAAUUAAAAAUUGGAACGAUCUAUGAACUAUCAGCUUAGGUACAUGUUCAUUUUGACAUCAAGGCAAAUCAGUCUAUUUCCCCUGGCCACAAGAUAACCGCCCUUUCGUCCUCUCCCAAUGGAGUUAUAAUGCCUGAAAGGACCCAGCAUCUUCUUGCUCUAUUUUACACGCUCUAUAAUGAUCUCCGCUUUAAGGAGACUAUUAUGAUACCUUCCAGUGUUCAUGGUUUAAUGAGCAAAAAUAGACGACACCAAAGCCUGUCGUAGCAAGUCGACGACGGUAAUGAAAAAGGAGAAACGAUGUCAGCGAAAGUAAGGACGUCGAUGAUAACGUAAAAGAAUAAUUGAUGAAACUGAGGACGUUCUCCUGCAUAUUUUUCCCCUGCCUGGCUUAUUAUCUCUUCGUCUUUUCUCUCCGCUGUUCCACGACACUCACCUCGACGCUUCUUACUUGCUCGGCUCUCUCCUUUUCUCUUUUUCAUUUUCCCACUUUCCCAGAGCACUUCAGUGUUGUCGCCGAGUUUUGAGCGCUCUCCGACUUCGCAAACAAUGAACCCUAAUUGUUCUAUCUUGUUUCCUUCUCUGCUUCAUUGAAUACACACUCUCCUCCUCCUCCUCCUCCUCCUCCUCUCUCUCUCUCUCUCUCUCUCUCUCUCUCUCUCUCUGAGAAUGAUGGGUCAUUCUGUGUAUAAAGAUAGGUUCAUUUUCUGCAGUGAUAACUUCAAGUGUCUAAUGUGACACAGACGGUUACACUGCGGCAGAAUUUUGCGGUAAAGAUUUAGCAGAGGAAUCAUCUAUGUAUUUCUCAAAUGUCAGUUACCUUUCCAUUUUCUUAUUACAUUCCUCUCAUUCAUCACUUCUCCCGUUCUCUGUCAACUUUCAUCUUCUUCUUCUUCACUGGAAGAUGGAGGAAGUUUAGGCAGUUAGGAAGAAUGUCGGUGCCUUCCCCAAAUGGCGCCUCUUCCAGUCUUUCUCAUCUCCAUAUUAUGACUCCUUCAAUGUAGAAUGUAACGUGUAACUUUUUUGAACUCUUCGCCUUGGAAUAGACGUUUCCAUUCCUUGGGAGCCCUUCAGGCCGAAACCUGUUUCUACUACUUCUCUCAUUUUAUAGUUCUACGAAAUGGCACCAUUGAAUUAAUCUGCAUUGGCUGUUGCAUUAUAGGCUUUUUCGUAUUGGUGGAUGAUCCAUAAUAAACGACAGAGGAUGGAAGUCAUUGGUACAAGACAUAGCUAGAACUGAUUUAGUCUUACAUGCUGGUGAUUUAUUGUGGAAAAAAUGCACAAAGAAUGCUAUUGCUUACUUGAUUGGAGAAUUGAUAGUAAACGAGUCAAGUUUUUGGUCGAGAUGUACAAGAGAAACUUUGUAGUCAGUUUGCUGGUCCUGACUGAAGUAAAUCAACCAACGUAGUGUUUUUUGACUUUUCGGAAUCUUCAUUAAGACCAACUCAAAUGUCAGUUCAUAGGUCAGAUUUCAUAUCAGAGGUAAAUGUCAGUAAGAAGUUCAAAGACUUAGAAUGAUCAGAGGAAGGAAGGAAAUGAUAGCAAAUCCAAGGUGAAUAAUUGCCAGUUCUGGGACACUCCAGCAAUUUGGCAAUUAACCACUAGAGAAUUUUCAUUGCAAAUCAUAGAGGCUACUUUCAACCCUAAUAGUAUGAUACCAUAUGAUUUGUAAGUUAGUCAUUCCUUUUUCUAAAACAUGAUCCUAUAAUCAUAACUGAUAAAGGCCAGUUAAUAUUCUCAUCAAAUGUAAAUGAUACCUACACCUUGUUGUCACCACGUGGACAUCUGUAUACCAUUUGCGUGUGCAUCCUGUUAGUCGCAAGAUAAGCUUAGUCCGUUCUGUUAACUGCUAUAUGUCAUGUGGUAAUAUUUGUGAGGCCAUACAUGUAUGUUAUUACUCUAUUUCAAUAAUGUAUUUGAGCCGGAGCAUUGAAAAAAUAAAAAAAAUAUUUAUCAUGUACUGACUCAUCAUGAUAGGAGUGUAUAAAUUUCUCUCUGUGUAUAAGUGUGAGUAAUGCUGGUUUGAUCAAUUAAUAUCUUACAGAAUCAGCAAACUUUGGUGAUAUCUGAUGUGGCUGGCUACCUAGACUAAUAUUGCUCUAGGUCAAAUUUCUAAGGAUCAUAACAGAAUUUGGGAUGUUUAUGUACAGCGCCAUAAGGGGUUGGGUGUCUUAUGGAGAAGCGAAGACGGCAUCUGGAGUCGAGAGGGUGAAUUCAAAUCGUGUGGACUACUUCUCUCAUAACAGCUCGAAGUAGUGAGUCCGGAACUCUCACUGGUAAGAACAGAUCUUAAAACUUUUUAAGGUAUUUAGACCAUGCUAAGGGGAGACCAAAGUUUGGCGGUUCCGUGAUAUUCCUAAAAACAAAAAUAAACAAAAAAAUGUUACAGUGACCCUCACGACACUGUUGCCUUAUGGAAUAGUGGAAUGGUUAACUUUGCUAAAAAAAAAUUUUUCCACAUUAGCUUACAGUAGAUGUUUAACUGUUUAGAAUGUGAGCUGAGACCAGUUAGUCAUUAUCCUUAACUCUCCCCCUUUUUUGGGAAUGUUUGUAGAAAACCCUCUUUUCAAAAGUGAAAAAAAAGUUAACCAACAGUACUUAUCAUAACCAAGUUCGUUUUAGUGUGUAUAAGAUAAGUGAGGCCCAUACCCUCCUUCCCACGUGCCCCCCAAGUACCUAAUCCCAGUCUGGCUGGUCACUUCCCAUAUUCACAUACUGAGCCCAAACUAAGUUUAGGUGGUAAUUGUUAGUUCUAGAAUGAUGACAUGAAAUACUUCACAAUAAUGAUAACAGUAAUGACAACCCCCAUCGAAAGCCUUAACACGCCUUGCAGUUGAGGAGGAACCAACCUUAAUUCCCUUACCAAAGCAUAAUGAGAAUCAUGGUAGAUGAAAUCAAAGACAGACAUAUGAAGCUCCGAUCAUCAUUAGAUGUUGCUAGGUGGAUGUGAACCUAUCGGUGUUCAGCUUGGCGGUAUUUGUUUUGAGUAUUUGCGGUCUCUAUGAUUCAAGUGUUUCUGUUCAUGGCUGCAUAGAAUAACAAACAUCACCCUGAAAAGAACACUAUUGGUGUUGCUCUCUUCAUCAUGUCUGGGACUGACAUCACCAAAUAUCAUUGACUAAUGAUAAUAAGAGUGAUCACCAUGAAGGCAGUCCACACGCUGAUAUAUAUAAAAAAGCCAGUCAUAAUAUCAUUAGCCUUUCAACCUAAAGUGUUACAUCUGAUGAAGAUUUAUUAGUCAGAUUAUUGAUUUCAAUGUAAAUACAAUACAAAUUUGAUUUAAGAUUGAAAGACGAUUUGUGAUCGAAAGAAGUUAAUGCCACCAUCAGCAGCUUUGUAGAGUCUAGGCCUAGAACAGAACGGUGGCACUGCAUCCGCCAGCUUGACGUAAGAAAGACCAGACGACGACGACGACCAUGUUACGGGCUGCUGAAAAGCAAGAGCCCGUGCCAGCACAAAGCUGGCUUCAUUUAACUGCUGCUGACGACGACCAUAGAUAGAGGGAGGGCGCAUCUGGAGCCUCUUCCGCAGCCCUCGGUUUCCAUCCUGCUCUCGCUGCUCGGUGGUGACGGCAACCAAACCCACAACAACACCUGUAGAGGACUGAGGAAUGACAAUAUUAUAUUUUUGCUAUUUUCUCAUCUUUCUAGAGUAAAUAAAGAGGUAUUUUACACACUACAUUUUGUCUUUUCUAAUUUUUGGAGGAUAUUUUUUGAAGCUAAACUAGUAGUGUGGGAGGUGAUAUGUACUGCUUGAUUAGUGUCUUGCAAUGUGGGACUUACUGACAACAGGAUUUUCUUCAGUGUUUAAGAAAACUAAACUCAAAGCGAACUCAUGCAUUAUGCGUUGCAACUUUUGGUACGAUGAAAAUCCUGCGAGUUAACUCUAUCGCUUUUGUAACUCACGUAGGCUAAUAGGUAGUAGAGCGAUGAUUGGCGUGGCAACGCACUUCAAACAGCUAUGAAUUUGUCUCUUCAUUAGAAAUGUAACGAAUAAAAAUACCCGAGAGCUUAUUUCUUCCCCAGAACACAUUGGCGUUAGUAUAUAUAUACUAUAUUAUAUCUGUAAAGUUCAAAACGAGCGCAGAUACCCUGCGAAGCACAAAUACUUUCCCAACGAAACCUGCGUAACGUAACUAGAGAAGAGAGCAGCUUGAACAAACCCUGCCCCCUUUUGUACUGAAACUUAUUUUGCGAAAGAAAUAUGUCUCGGCUUUGCUGUGUAUAAAGAAAAUCAAGGUGGUAGAUAUUUAGUGUUUUGCAUUCGUAGCCUCUACGUAGUUGAUAUCAGUCGUGCGUUGUAGACAGGCAACAGCAAGAAGCUUCUAGAAGAUUCUGGCGUCAGCAGCACCAGCAGCAGCAGCAACGUUUUUAAUGAGUCUAAUCCUCAGAGCCUUAGAUUCUUCUUCUACACUUGGUGUUUCACAAAAGAGAAUCAGCACGUCAAUAAAUGCUUUGCUGGCUAUCACUGAACAGGAUAAAUCAUCUUCCAUAUCAGUGCCUCACCAUCUCUCGUUUUUAUAGUUUGAUGUUUGGCAAAAUUUCACCGAGAAACCCAAUUCACCUUAGGAAUGAAUAUAGCUACAAUCUAUAUUCAUCGAACAUAGUUUGAAAUUUAGAGGUUUAUCUAUCUGGGCCAAAGAGGAACAUUCUGGACAAUCUAUUUUUUCUAUUUACAUGGAUUUCGGAUACAAGAUUUAUUUUCUGAAGGUAUAAUAUUAAAGUCUUCUGAUUAACACAAACAGCAUGUGAUGUAUAUUUUCAGCAGUGCUGUAAAUGGGUAAGCAAAUAUAUAUUUCAGUCUUUUCAUAAAGAUGUGUUUUAUGGUGUCAUAUACAAUACAUAUAUACAGGUACUUAUAUAUAAAUAUAUACAUACAUAUUCAGUCAGUUAUUUAGAUGUUGAGGAGACUGCCAAUUAAUCAAAAUCUAAUUGCAUAUUGAGUGUAAUGAAUAAAAAUUGUAUUACA